UACGGAGGUCCCAAGCGUUGUUCGGAUUCACUGGGCGUAAAGGGCGCGUAGGCGGCCUUCUAAGUCAGACGUGAAAUCCCCCGGCUUAACCUGGGAACUGCGUCUGAUACUGGAGGGCUUGAGUGCGGGAGAGGGAUGUGGAAUUCCAGGUGUAGCGGUGAAAUGCGUAGAUAUCUGGAGGAACACCGGUGGCGAAGGCGGCAUCCUGGACCGACACUGACGCUGAGGCGCGAAAGCUAGGGUAGCAAACGGG
rnacentral:rRNA from 1 species